UCAGGAACUGAGUCUGAAGAAAUAAAGGGCAAUGUUUGUCACAAUAACAGAAAAGCCUGGACUGUACACAAUGAAAAGGCAGAGUCCAUAUUAAUGAACUAUUAAAUUGUAUCUUACAAAUUCCAUUCAGGAUACAUACAUAAACAGAAAAAGAGAGAGAGAAAGACCAUACUGAAUUCAGAAGUCUCAACAAAUGGAUACCUAAGCAAUGACUUCCCCUACAACAGACCCUUUAGCUGCAGGAAGAUAGUGCUGGCAACAAAAGCUACU
rnacentral:lncRNA from 10 species